GAUGAACGCUGGCGGCGUGCCUAAUACAUGCAAGUCGAGCGAAUGGAUUAAGAGCUUGCUCUUAUGAAGUUAGCGGCGGACGGGUGAGUAACACGUGGGUAACCUGCCCAUAAGACUGGGAUAACUCCGGGAAACCGGGGCUAAUACCGGAUAACAUUUUGAACCGCAUGGUUCGAAAUUGAAAGGCGGCUUCGGCUGUCACUUAUGGAUGGACCCGCGUCGCAUUAGCUAGUUGGUGAGGUAACGGCUCACCAGGGCAACGAUGCGUAGCCGACCUGAGAGGGGGAUCGGCCACGCUGGGACUGAGACACGGCCCAGACCCCUACGGGAGGCAGCAGUAGGGAAUCUUCCGCAAUGGACGAAAGUCUGACGGAGCAACGCCGCGUGAGUGAUGAAGGCUUUCGGGUCGUAAAACUCUGUUGUUAGGGAAGAACAAGUGCUAGUUGAAUAAGCUGGCACCUUGACGGUACCUAACCAGAAAGCCACGGCUAACUACGUGCCAGCCGCCGCCGCUG
rnacentral:rRNA from 1 species